rnacentral:rRNA from 1 species
AUUGAACGCUGGCGGCAUGCUUUACACAUGCAAGUCGAACGGCAGCGCGGGCUUCGGCCUGGCGGCGAGUGGCGAACGGGUGGGUAAUGCAUCGGAACGUGCCCAGUAGUGGGGGAUAGCCCGGCGACAGCCGGAUUCAUACCGCAUACGACCUGAGGGUGUAAGCGGGGGACCGAAAGACCUCGCGCUCUUGGAGCGGCCGAUGUCGGAUUAGCUAGUUGGUGGGGUAAAGGCUUACCAAGGCGACGAUCCGUAGCUGGUCUGAGAGGAUGACCAGCCACACUGGAACUGAGACACGGCCCAGACUCCUACGGGAGGCAGCAGUGGGGAAUUUUGGACAAUGGGGGUAACCCUGAUCCAGCCAUGCCGCGUGCGGGAAGAAGGCCUUCGGGUUGUAAACCGCUUUUGUUCGGGAAGAAAUCCUCUGGGCUAAUACCCCGGGGGGAUGACGGUACCGGAAGAAUAAGCACCGGCUAACUACGUG